AUUGAACGCUGGCGGCAGGCUUAACACAUGCAAGUCGAGCGGGGAAAGGUAGCUUGCUACCGGACCUAGCGGCGGACGGGUGAGUAAUGCUUAGGAAUCUGCCUAUUAGUGGGGGACAACAUCUCGAAAGGGAUGCUAAUACCGCAUACGUCCUACGGGAGAAAGCAGGGGAUCUUCGGACCUUGCGCUAACAGAUGAGCCUAAGUCGGAUUAGCUAGUUGGUGGGGUAAAGGCCUACCAAGGCGACGAUCUGUAGCGGGUCUGAGAGGAUGAUCCGCCACACUGGGACUGAGACACGGCCCAGACUCCUACGGGAGGCAGCAGUGGGGAAUAUUGGACAAUGGGGGGAACCCUGAUCCAGCCAUGCCGCGUGUGUGAAGAAGGCCUUAUGGUUGUAAAGCACUUUAAGCGAGGAGGAGGCUACUUUAGUUAAUACCUAGAGAUAGUGGACGUUACUCGCAGAAUAAGCACCGGCUAACUCUGUGCCAGCAGCCGCAGUAA
rnacentral:rRNA from 1 species